GCGGGUGUAGUUCAAUGGCAGAACACCGGCUUCCCAAGCCGGACGCGAGGGUUCGAUUCCCUUCACCCGCUCCA
rnacentral:tRNA from 1 species